rnacentral:lncRNA from 1 species
GGAUCUGGGAGCUGAUCUUGUGGCAGUGUAGAUUCCAGUUGAGGAAAUCAAUGAUGCCAUCGUGAUCAUUCAGAUAAAUACAUGAUUUUAAAGGCUGAUAAAAUGUUCUAAAGAAAAAUUUGAUUGCUAAAAAUGUCAUUUUUGAGCUACAGAGGCAUGGUAGCUCAUGCCUACAAUCCUAGUACUUGGGAGGCUGAGUCGAGAGGAUUGUAGUUUAAGGCCAAAUGACAUACAGUGAUACCCUGUUUUAAGACAAGCAGGCUGGUGAGAUGGCUCAGUGAGCAAGAGCACAAACUGCUCUUACAUACGAUCUGAAGUUGGUUCCCAGCAUCCAAGCAAAAUGGCUCUCAACAUCCUGUAAUUGCAGUUCCACAGACUAUGAUAGUCUCUUCUGGACUCCACAGGCACCUGUACUAAUGUGUUCACAUACCCUCACAAGAUAUAUGCACACAUAUAUACUCAGAAGUAAAAAAUAAGACCAAAACCAAACCCAAAACUUAGAAAGUUCAGCUAAUCCCAGUUUAGCUAACUAGUAGCAUCAUAACCUUGCAUAUUUUUUCUAUAUUACUGGAAGAGAAUAGUCAAAAUAAGCACGGGAAUGCAUUUCUUUCAUUCUGCUCACCUGCAAAGCUGGUGCAGCAGCAUUGCAAGAGCUGGAGAAUGUGGGUCAGUUAUAGUACAUUUGCUUAGCAUGUUUGAAACUCUACAUUUAGUUACUAUUAAAAGAAAAUACAUGGGAACAGUCAAGUUAUUUCACGAGUGGUCAUGAAUAUCAGCUGACAACUGGGAUUUGUUUUGUCAAUGUUUUGACAUAUGUACUUUUUUUGUCUUCUGUUUUGGAUUUUAUAUAAGCUUCAAAAUAGUAGGAUUUCUUUGGUUUGUCUUGUUAAAUUGUGGUUUAUUGUUUUAGUUCGAACACCUGGAUCAGCAAAUGACAUAUUAUGAAUGGGAAUGAAUACUGAGUGUAUGAAAUAUUUGUUGGUCAUCUUUCAGUAUAGAAAAAAUACCUGGGAUAAUCAACUUUGAACUAGGAUCCAUUUAUCCUGGCUUGCAGUUUUCAGGGUUCACAGUCAGUUGGCGGCUGGCAAUGAGAAAGCACAGCAUGGCAAGCAUAUUUGGUAGAACAAAGCAUCAGGAACCAGGGAGCAAAAAGGAAGACAGAGUCUGGGCUCUCAAGAACACUUCUUAAGGUCAUACCUCUUAUGACUCCAGAACUUCUCUAUCUUACUGCUAACGAGUCUACCUCCUCCCUUAAUGCCAGCCUGUUUACCAACUCUUAGCAUGUAGAUAUUUGGUAGACUCAGGACCCACACCAUGCCAAUAUGCUUUGCACUUUUUUUGUAGAUAACUGACAUUCUUAAAAAAAAUAUUGGGGGUAGGCUGGGGAUGUACCUCAGUUGAUAAUAGUGUUAGCCUGCAUAAGGCUCUAGGUUCCAUUCCCGGUAUGAUAGAAACUGGAUGUGGAGGUCCACAUUUCUAAUUGUAGCACUGAGAAAGUUGGGGCAGGAGGAUCAGGGUUAUGAUGCUCCUCUGGGAUGUAGUAGAUCUUGUAUCAAAAAAUAAAAAUAAAAGGGAGAUUGUUCUUAUUUUAAUUCUGAAAUAGUCACAUCAGUACCCUGUUGCUUUCAUGCCCAUCUCCUUCAGUUUUGCUUCUCAUCUAAGUUGGCUCCGGAUUAGAACAUACAGAGAGUGAUGCCGGGAGGUGCUGAGCAGUUCCCAGAGCUUGCUGCCCUAUCAUGGGGAUUAGGUUUCCUGAUCCUAACACAGCUCAAAGAAACCGGACUCAAGAGAUCCUUUUCUUCUCUCCAUAAGCAUUCACACACAUAUGUAUACACACAUAUAUAUACUACAAAAGAAAAAUCUCAAAGAAAACGAGAAAUUCAAAGCAGAAGAAAUAUCUGUGCUGUAGUAAGGAAACUCCUAAAGGAAGAGAAUGCUUCUCAGAAGGAAUUUGAGUAAGCAAGAAGGCCUGCAAACACUGAAGCCUUCUUUGGUUCAAUGAGCCUUUUGUGAGUUUUAGCUGCAUUCUAUGUAGCUGAAAUGUUAUACAAGGACUCUCACACGUAAAAUAUUUUAGUUCUCUCAAAGUGUCCUCAUUCUAGCUUUACAUUACAUUAUAUCAUAACUUUGCAUAUUAUGGAAGAAUUUUAAAAUUUAAAAGUUUAGCUAUUCUUUAAGAGAGAACUUUUGGGGUGGGUCAUCUAAAACUUACUAUUUAUGAUAUAUAUAUUUUAAAUAUUUUAAAUCAUUUUUAUAUGUACUUGAUGACCUUUUUUCAUAUUGUCUUCAAAAUCACUGUUAUUCUGGGGGGAACUUAUCUGUAAAUGUGUUAUUGAUUCCUAACUCAUUUAUUAUUUAAGGGCACCAUCUGAGGGUACUAUAAUUGUAAUUAUUUUUUACCUUAUUAAUCAUGGCACUAAGAACCAAAUAUAAGUAUUAUUAAGCCUUCAAAAGAUUGAGGAUUACAUUCUGUCAAUGAGGUGGUUAUACGCUUUUAGAACUGUUAUUCUGAAAUGAACAUACGAUGCUCUAAUGACAUCCUUGAGUAUUAUCUCUGAGAAAGUAAAUUUCUAUUUG